GACGAACGCUGGCGGCGUGCUUUACACAUGCAAGUCGAACGGUAACAGGUCUUCGGACGCUGACGAGUGGCGAACGGGUGAGUAAUACAUCGGAACGUGCCCAGUCGUGGGGGAUAACUACUCGAAAGAGUAGCCAAUACCGCAUACGAUCUGAGGAUGAAAGCGGGGGACCUUCGGGCCUCGCGCGAUUGGAGCGGCCGAUGGCAGAUUAGGUAGUUGGUGGGAUAAAAGCUUACCAAGCCGACGAUCUGUAGCUGGUCUGAGAGGACGACCAGCCACACUGGGACUGAGACACGGCCCAGACUCCUACGGGAGGCAGCAGUGGGGAAUUUUGGACAAUGGGCGAAAGCCUGAUCCAACAAUGCCGCGUGCAGGAUGAAGGCCUUCGGGUUGUAAACUGCUUUUGUACGGAACGAAAAAGCUCCUUCUAAUACAGGGGGCCCAUGACGGUACCGUAAGAAUAAGCACCGGCUAACUACGUGCCAGCCGCCGCGGUAA
rnacentral:rRNA from 1 species